rnacentral:rRNA from 1 species
AUGCAGAUUGUGGUCUGCAUCGACGACAUCUGGAAGACGGAACAUGUGCUGGGUUCGUGGUUCGUGGAUGGCAGGUAUGGUUUUCUUCUGCAACGUCUUAGUCGCGGUGGGGUGCCAGAUCUGGAGUUCGAUGGCGUGUCCGGGGUGUUGCCCCGGUCUGAUUCGUUCAACGGUAAGGGCUUCACUUUUGGUGAGCCACCUUGGAGGUUCGCAAAGCUGGAUAUCAGCGAUGGAGCCGCAUUGAGCUCGGGUGAGGAGAUGAUCCAUCAUUCUUUUCUUCGGUGGCUGCUGUCGUGGUGCCGGAGGCAGGUGAUGGGCGUUGGUGUCAAGCUGAGAGAUGUUCUGCUAGCUUUUCAGUUUUGUCAUGUCGGUCCUUACAUGACUCGCGGCGGCAACCACGAUGACGGCCCGGCUGCGGACAUCUCGUGGGUGAUGCUAGAUCGCUUCGUGUUCCGCAGGGACGACGAGCUUUUCCCGGACGCCGAGGCCAAGCACAUGAGAGCUCAGUCCCUCACCUCCGUGGGGGAAAUCUUCAACGUCGCCUUGCUCGCCGCCGCCCCGCCCAUGCUCUCCCGCCUCUACGUGCAGUGGCCGCUCAGUCCGCCGGAGGAGCAGGAUGGUAAUGGCAGGUCAGCCGAGCUCGUCACGGCCCACCGAGGUCUCGUCCUGCUCAGGGUCACCUCCCCCACAGGGCCUGGCGAGAAUGAUUACGUGCAGGACUACUUCGUCUUCAAAGCCGCCGCCUCCGCCGGGGCUAACUCGCGGCUCAGACGGCUCCCGGCGUGCACCCAACCCAUAGUGCUACCUUACGGGGAGUCGGAGGUGACUAUGGAGCGCUGGUUUCAUCAGAACACGAUCGGUCUGGUUUCACUUUCCGGUAGUGGUGAUGGCGACGAAGGCGAGUUUGCGAUGGUGCAGUUGGCCAAGUUUGUUCACACUCCGGGCAGCGCCCCCAAGAUGGGAGCUGAGCUAUGUGUGUUCCGCUCCCGUCUGCCCUCUUCUUCCAAAUCCAACACCAACACUCAAGGUGACGGUGAUGAUGCCGGGGUUGCUGAGGGCGAGUGGGAGGGUCUGGAGCUGCCAAUCCAGCAUGCCGAGGAGGAAUUCUUUGACCUCAAGGGUUGGUCAGCGCAUGGCGCCGUCACAUUUGGCAAAUCCAUAUGCUGGUUCGAUUACCACCAAGGAGGCAUCCUCCGGUAUGCACCAAGACCCUACAUACCUUACUCAGGAAUAGUAGGAGAAAGCAGCAGCAGCAUCUCGUACAUCCGACUGCCCAUCGACAACCGUCCCAACACUUUAUCACCAACCGACCAAUUGCUCGAGAAGUACCGCAGCCUGUGUGUCACCGGCACAAGGGGCAACGAGCAGCUUAAGUUCGUCGACGUGGUCCGUAGUGUUGGUGUCUGCUGUGGCCUGAUCACAGUCAGCUCUCGUUUCGCUAUCGCCUGCCAUACUUUCUGCACAAGAGAUCACAGGUGGCACAGGGAUGCGCUCAUUGAUUCUCAAGAUCUAUGGUAUCUUAACGCCCGCCAGCAGAGGCUUAUGCCCGACUAUGCCUUGACCACGUUCCCUCUAGUGAGUAUGGACAAGCCGCAUCUUGUCCACUUCCUCGUCUCCGAGCCGAGGAAGAACAACAACAUUGACGAUGUUUCGGUGGUUGUUAUCGAUAUCAUCACGCAUAAAACAGUUUCGACUUUUUCAUAUAUCCGAGGAGAAGAUCACUGCGGCAAAGAUGCAGACAUGGUCAUGCAAAGAUGCCGUCUUCCACGGUCUUUUCUCCCUUGUCACUUCCACUAA